UGGUGGAGUGAUUUGUCUGGUUAAUUCCGUUAACGAACGAGACCUCGACCUGCUAAAUAGUCUGCUGAACUCUUUGGGUUUGCGCAGUACUUCUUAGAGGGACUAUCGGUUCUAAGCCGGUGGAAGUUCGAGGCAAUAACA
rnacentral:rRNA from 1 species